rnacentral:rRNA from 1 species
UACGUAGGUGGCAAGCGUUGUCCGGAUUUACUGGGCGUAAAGAGCGCGCAGGCGGUCGAUCAAGUCGCGUGUGAAAUCCCCCGGCUCAACUGGGGAACUGCACAGGAAACUAGCGGGCUUGAGUUCGGGAGAGGGAAGCGGAAUUCCGGGUGUAGCGGUGGAAAUGCGUAGAUAUCAGGAGGAACACCGGUGGCGAAGGCGGAUCUCUGGGCCUUACCUGACGCUCAGGCGCGAAAGCGUGGGGAGCAAACAGG